AAGCGGAGGAGCAUGUGGUUUAAUUCGAUGAUACGCGAGGAACUUACCUGGGCUCGAACGUAAGAUGACUGUAGGUGAAAGCUUACAUCUCUUCGGAGCAUUUUACGAGGUGCUGCAUGGUUGUCGUCAGCUCGUGCCGUGAGGUGUCGGGUUAAGUCCCAUAACGAGCGCAACCCUACCUUUAGUUGCCAUCAGGUAAUGCUGGGGACUCUAAAGGAACUGCCUACGCAAGUAGUGAGGAAGGCGGGGAUGACGUCAAAUCAGCACGGCCCUUACGUCCAGGGCUACACACGUGCUACAAUGGCCGAUACAGAGGGCAGCUACCUGGUGACAGGAUGCAAAUCUCCAAAGUCGGUCUCAGUUCGGAUCGGAGUCUGCAACCCGACUCCGUGAAGUUGGAUUCGCUAGUAAUCGCGCAUCAGCCAUGGCGCGGUGAAUACGUUCCCGGGCCUU
rnacentral:rRNA from 1 species